GUGUCAGCAGCCGCGGUAAUACGUAGGUGGCAAGCGUUAUCCGGAAUUAUUGGGCGUAAAGCGCGCGCAGGGGUUUCGUAAGACAGACGUGAAAUCCCCGGGCUCAACCUGGGAACUGCGUUUGUGACUGCGAGGCUAGAGUACGGCAGAGGGGGGUAGAAUUCCACGUGUAGCAGUGAAAUGCGUAGACAUGAGGAGGAAUACCGAUGGCGAAGGCAGCCCCCUGGGUUAGUACUGACG
rnacentral:rRNA from 1 species